rnacentral:rRNA from 1 species
UACGGAGGGUGCGAGCGUUGUCCGGAAUGACUGGGCGUAAAGGGCGCGUAGGCGGCUCGUGAAGUCGGGUGUGAAAGCCCGGGGCUCAACCCCGGAACGGCAUCCGAUACUGGCGGGCUUGAGACCGGGAGAGGAGGGUGGAAUACCCAGUGUAGAGGUGAAAUUCGUAGAUAUUGGGUGGAACACCGGUGGCGAAAGCGGCUCUCUGGCCCGGAUCUGACGCUGAGGCGCGAAAGCGUGGGGAGCAAACAGG